CUCUACGGGAGGCAGCAGUAAGGAAUAUUGGUCAAUGGACGCAAGUCUGAACCAGCCAUGCCGCGUGGAGGAUGAAGGUCCUCUGGAUUGUAAACUUCUUUUAUCUGGGACGAAACACUCCUUUUCUAAGGGGCCUGACGGUACCAGAUGAAUAAGCACCGGCUAACUCCGUGCCAGCAGCCGCGGUAAUACGGAGGGUGCAAGCGUUAUCCGGAUUCACUGGGUUUAAAGGGUGCGUAGGUGGGUAUGUAAGUCAGUGGUGAAAUCCCCGAGCUUAACUUGGGAACUGCCAUUGAUACUAUAUAUCUUGAAUGUCGUAGAGGUAAGCGGAAUAUGUCAUGUAGCGGUGAAAUGCUUAGAUAUGACAUAGAACACCAAUUGCGAAGGCAGCUUACUAUGCGAUUAUUGACACUGAGGCACGAAAGCGUGGGUAGCAAACAGGAUUAGAUACCCUGGUAGUCCACGCCCUAAACUAUGGAUACUCGACAUACGCGAUACACUGUGUGUGUCUGAGCGAAAGCAUUAA
rnacentral:rRNA from 1 species